rnacentral:rRNA from 1 species
GCUUCCCAAUCUCGUAUAGUGGCGAACGGGUGAGUAACGCGUAAUCAACCUGCCCUUCAGCGGGGGACAACAGUUGGAAACGACUGCUAAUACCGCAUACUGAAGGAGGGGAUUGCGUCUGAUUAGCUAGUUGGAGGGGUAACGGCCCACCAAGGCGAUGAUCAGUAGCCGUUCUGGGAGGAUGUACGGCCACAUUGGGACUGGGACGCUGCCCAGACCUCUACGGGAGGCAGAAGUGGGGAAUCUUCCGCUAUGGAAGAAAGUCUGACGGAGCAACGCCGCGUGAGUGAUGACGGCCUUCGGGUUGUAAAGCUCUGUUAAUCGGGACGCGGUACCGGAUUAGAAAGCCACGGCUAACUACGUGCCAGCAGCCGCGGUAAUAC